rnacentral:sRNA from 1 species
AGUUGUGUGUGUGUAUGUGUGUGUGUGUGUGUGCGUUUCUUUUCAGAAGGGGAGGGUAAUGUCUUCUGUUGGAACAUGCACUCCACCCUCUUUGAUAAGGCUUGUGGUAAGAUUUGCAUCACUACCCAUGACAGUCAUCCUCAUAGCAUUAAGCACACAGCUCUUAGCUCCCAUAAUGAUGUGUGGAGGGUGGAGAGUAUUGCAGCCAUAUUCACCUUUCAUUUGUGUGUUUGAUGUGGCAUUUAUAUUAAGUAGGAGUAAUUUUUUUUCUGAUUUUUUUUUCUUGUGUCACCAGUGCACCUAUUCCAUUCUUCCAUCGCUGUGCUCCUGUGAACAUUUCCUGCUAUGCCAAGUUUGCAGAGGCCCUGAUCACCUUUGUCAGUGACAAUAGUGUCUUACACAGGCUGAUUAGUGGAGUAAUGACCAGCAAAGAAAUUAUAUUGGGACUUUGCUUGUUAUCACUAGGUAGUACUUGACUCAAUUGAAAUAAUGCUGUCCAUAUGAAAAUCUAUUUCUGUGAUAUUUGAAAGGCUCCCAUCUGUUUUUGGUUCCUGUACA